CAGCGCCGCGGUAAUACGAAGGGUGCAAGCGUUACUCGGAAUUACUGGGCGUAAAGCGUGCGUAGGUGGUGGUUUAAGUCCGUUGUGAAAGCCCUGGGCUCAACCUGGGAAUUGCAGUGGAUACUGGGUCACUAGAGUGUGGUAGAGGAUAGUGGAAUUUCCGGCGUAGCAGUGAAAUGCGUAGAGAUCGGAAGGAACAUCUGUGGCGAAGGCGACUAUCUGGGCCAACACUGACACUGAGGCACGAAAGCGUGGGGAGCAAACAGGAUUAGAUACCCGCGUAGUCCCUGUCUCUUAUACA
rnacentral:rRNA from 1 species